rnacentral:rRNA from 1 species
UACAGAGGUCUCAAGCGUUGUUCGGAUUCAUUGGGCGUAAAGGGUGCGUAGGCGGCGCGGUAAGUCGGGUGUGAAAUCUCGGAGCUUAACUCCGAAACUGCAUUCGAUACUGCCGUGCUUGAGGACUGGAGAGGAGACUGGAAUUCAUGGUGUAGCAGUGAAAUGCGCAGAUAUCAGGAAGAACACCCGUGGCUAAGGCGGCUCUCUAGUACGGUACUGACGCUGAGACGCGAAAGCGUGGGGAGCGAACAGG